UACAGAGGUCUCAAGCGUUGUUCGGAUUCAUUGGGCGUAAAGGGUGCGUAGGUGGCGCCGUAAGUCGGGUGUGAAAUUCGGAGCUUAACUCCGAACUGCAUUCGAUACUGCGGUGCUUGAGGACUGGAGAGGAGACUGGAAUUACGGUGUAGCGGUGAAAUGCGUAGAUAUCGAUAAGGAAGACCAGUGGCGAAGGCGGGUCGUCUGGACAGUUCCUGAC
rnacentral:rRNA from 1 species